CCUUUAUAAAUAGCUAGCCACAGUGUAAGUAUAUUCUCUGCUUCUCAGGCUUGAUUUUCUUGUUAACUAAGACUCAGAUAAUGUUCUUUUCCUCUCUGGUUAUCUGAGACUAUCUUGAAAAUUUAAGUCAUUAUUAGUUAGUAUUGUGGUUAGAAGUUUUACUUGAGCUGAGGAUGUAGCCGAGUACCUA